GACGUAGGGGGCAAGCGUUGUCCGGAUUUAUUGGGCGUAAAGAGCUCGUAGGCGGCUUGGCAAGUCAGAUGUGAAACCUCCAGGCUUAACCUGGAGCCGCCAUCUGAUACUGCUAUAGCUAGAGUUCGGUAGGGGACCAUGGAAUUCCUGGAGUAGCGGUGAAAUGCGCAGAUCUCAGGAGGAACACCAGUGGCGAAGGCGGUGGUCUAGGCCGAUACUGACGCUGAGGAGCGAAAGCGUGGGGAGCGAACAGG
rnacentral:rRNA from 1 species